GUGUGCAGGUGGUGCAUGGCUGUCGUCAGCUCGUGUCGUGAGAUGUUGGGUUAAGUCCCGCAACGAGCGCAACCCUUGUCUCAUGUUGCCAGCACGUAAUGGUGGGGACUCGUGAGAGACUGCCGGGGUCAACUCGGAGGAAGGUGGGGAUGACGUCAAGUCAUCAUGCCCCUUAUGUCCAGGGCUUCACACAUGCUACAAUGGCCGGUACAAAGGGCUGCGAUGCCGCGAGGUUAAGCGAAUCCUUUAAAGCCGGUCUCAGUUCGGAUCGGGGUCUGCAACUCGACCCCGUGAAGUCGGAGUCGCUAGUAAUCGCAGAUCAGCAACGCUGCGGUGAAUACGUUCCCGGGCCUUGUACACACCGCCCGUCACGUCAUGAAAGUCGGUAACACCCGAAGCCAGUGGCCUAACCCUUUGGGAGGGAGCUGUCGAAGGUGGGAUCGGCGAUUG
rnacentral:rRNA from 1 species